AUUGAACGCUGGCGGCAGGCCUAACACAUGCAAGUCGAACGGUAACAGGAAACAGCUUGCUGUUUCGCUGACGAGUGGCGGACGGGUGAGUAAUGUCUGGGAAACUGCCUGAUGGAGGGGGAUAACUACUGGAAACGGUAGCUAAUACCGCAUAACGUCGCAAGACCAAAGAGGGGGACCCUCGGGCCUCUUGCCAUCGGAUGUGCCCAGAUGGGAUUAGCUUGUUGGUGGGGUAACGGCUCACCAAGGCGACGAUCCCUAGCUGGUCUGAGAGGAUGACCAGCCACACUGGAACUGAGACACGGUCCAGACUCCUACGGGAGGCAGCAGUGGGGAAUAUUGCACAAUGGGCGCAAGCCUGAUGCAGCCAUGCCGCGUGUAUGAAGAAGGCCUUCGGGUUGUAAAGUACUUUCAGCGGGGAGGAAGGGAGUAAAGUUAAUACCUUUGCUCAUUGACGUUACCCGCAGAAGAAGCACCGGCUAACUCUGUGCCAGCAGCCGCGGUAAUACGGAGGGUGCAAGCGUUAAUCGGAAUUACUGGGCGUAAAGCGCACGCAGGCGGUUUGUUAAGUCAGAUGUGAAAUCCCCGGGCUCAACCUGGGAACUGCAUCUGAUACUGGCAAGCUUGAGUCUCGUAGAGGGGGGUAGAAUUCCAGGUGUAGCGGUGAAAUGCGUAGAGAUCUGGAGGAAUACCGGUGGCGAAGGCGGCCCCCUGGACGAAGACUGACGCUCAGGUGCGAAAGCGUGGGGAGCAAACAGGAUUAGAUACCCUGGUAGUCCACGCCGUAAACGAUGUCGACUUGGAGGUUGUGCCCUUGAGGCGUGGCUUCCGGAGCUAACGCGUUAAGUCGACCGCCUGGGGAGUACGGCCGCAAGGUUAAAACUCAAAUGAAUUGACGGGGGCCCGCACAAGCGGUGGAGCAUGUGGUUUAAUUCGAUGCAACGCGAAGAACCUUACCUGGUCUUGACAUCCACGGAAGUUUUCAGAGAUGAGAAUGUGCCUUCGGGAACCGUGAGACAGGUGCUGCAUGGCUGUCGUCAGCUCGUGUUGUGAAAUGUUGGGUUAAGUCCCGCAACGAGCGCAACCCUUAUCCUUUGUUGCCAGCGGUCCGGCCGGGAACUCAAAGGAGACUGCCAGUGAUAAACUGGAGGAAGGUGGGGAUGACGUCAAGUCAUCAUGGCCCUUACGACCAGGGCUACACACGUGCUACAAUGGCGCAUACAAAGAGAAGCGACCUCGCGAGAGCAAGCGGACCUCAUAAAGUGCGUCGUAGUCCGGAUUGGAGUCUGCAACUCGACUCCAUGAAGUCGGAAUCGCUAGUAAUCGUGGAUCAGAAUGCCACGGUGAAUACGUUCCCGGGCCU
rnacentral:rRNA from 1 species